GUCUGUUUGUAGAUAUAAAAAGUCUAGCCUGCCCACUGAUAAAUAAUUUUAAGGGCCGCGGUAUUUCUGACUGUGCAAAGGUAGCAUAAUAGUUAGUUUCUUAAUUAGAAUCUUGUAUGAAUGGUUUGACAAAAAAAAAUCUGUCUUAUAAUUAUUUAUUGAAUUUAACUUUUAAGUGAAAAGGCUUAAAUAAAUUAAAAAGACGAUAAGACCCUAUAAAGCUUAAUAUUAUUUUAUUAUUUAAUAAAAUUUUUUUAUAUAAAUAUUUGGUAAUAAUUUAUAUUUUAUUGGGGUGAUAAUAAUAAAAUGAUUAUUAACUGUUAAUUGAUUAAAACAAAAAAUAAAUGAAUAUAAAAUUUAAAUAUGUAAAUGAUCCUAUAUUAAAGAUUAAAAGUUUAAGUUACUUUAGGGAUAACAGCGUUAUUUUUUUUGAGAGUUCUUAUCGAAAAAAAAGUUUGCGACCUCGAUGUUGAAUUAAAAUAUCUAUAUNAUUGUAGCAGUUA
rnacentral:rRNA from 1 species